ACGAGUUAGGGUCUUCUAGGCCCGACCUCCCAACCCUUUGUUUAUCGAACCUCUGUUGCUUCGGCGGACCCGUCUCACGACCGCCGGAGGACCGCUGAACGGCGUCCUCUGGCCAGCGUCUGCCGAUGGCCAACCACUUAAAAUUCUGAAUGAAUCGUGUCUCGUGUCUAAGUCUAUGAUUAAAUAAAAAGCA
rnacentral:misc_RNA from 1 species